UCAUUUUUUGUGGUUGUAACUUCUUUUAAUUUUCUAAUACUCCCCUUGGCUUCUACAGUCAUUGCCACUUCCAUGAGCUUGUGUCAUUGGAGCUAAUUCAAGCAUUCAAAUUGGAGCAGUAGUCCACCGAGGUCUUGCAUACGCUAGAGUCCAAAAUGAGCCACUCUAACCCAUUUCUUCUAUAUUCACUUGUAAACUAUUUCUCGUCCACCUGUUUCUGAUUAGAUAUUCUUGAGAGGUGAAGGGCGUGAGCGCAAAGGAGACUCGGAAGCGAUAUGGAUGCGGAAGCUGUACAGGCACAAAGAAUGCUCGAGUUGCGGGCAAGAUGCGCAACCUCUCGCGGCAAUACUAUAAGGAAGCCGAUCAACUCUUCGGCGAGAUUGCAUCCGCGGAACUGAUUCAAGCGUUCGAAUUGUAGCAGUGAUCAGCCAAAGCCUCGCAUACGCUGGAGUGAAUGGCGUGGGCGUGGAAAGGAGACUCAAAAUUGAGACGGAUUCGGAAGCGUCAGAGG